rnacentral:tRNA from 2 species
GCGGGUGUAACUCAGUUGGUAGAGUGCAACCUUGCCAAGGUUGAUGUCGAGGGUUCGAGUCCCUUCACCCGCUCCC